UUCUGGCUCAGGAUGAACGCUAGCGACAGGCCUAACACAUGCAAGUCGAGGGGCAGCACAAGGAGCAAUCUGAGGUGGCGACCGGCGCACGGGUGAGUAACACGUAUGCAACCUGCCUGUAAGCGGGGAAUAACCCGUUGAAAGACGGACUAAUACCGCAUAAUACUAAAUUACUGCAUGGUAAUUUAUUUAAACAUUUAUGGCUUACAGAUGGGCAUGCGCAUGAUUAGCUAGUUGGAGAGGUAACGGCUCCCCAAGGCAACGAUCAUUAGGGGUUCUGAGAGGAAGGUCCCCCACACUGGUACUGAGACACGGACCAGACUCCUACGGGAGGCAGCAGUGAGGAAUAUUGGUCAAUGGACGAGAGUCUGAACCAGCCAAGUCGCGUGAAGGGGAAGAAGGAUCUAUGGUUCGUAAACUUCUUUUGCAGGGGAAUAAAGUGCAGGACGUGUCCUGUUUUGUAUGUACCCUGAGAAUAAGGAUCGGCUAACUCCGUGCCAGCAGCCGC
rnacentral:rRNA from 1 species